GUUUUUUGCUCAACUAAAAUAUGUGGUGCUCAUCUGGAAAACGGCGAGUAUCUUCUGUCAGGAAAUAUUGUGGAUGGAGUGAUGAUUUUUGGUUUAUGUGGACCUUGUGUGGCGUUGGGACCAACUCUCCUCCGUUCAAAAGGGGAACCUCAGCAUGUAUCAGAGAGGCUGUGUCUGUGAGAUUACAUCCUGUACUGGAGCAUCCUGUUUGACCAAGAAGCUUCAAAGAAAGUGUCUGAUAGGAGUCAAAAAAUCACUCAGUCUUGAUUAUGAAGACGCUCUUCAGGCUGUUUGCCUGCCACGCAGCGACGGCUCCUGCAAAUGGCAAAAAUGAAUUAAAACUACAAAAGCUCCUAAAAAUGAUGCCCUGAAGACCAAGUGCAUCCACCAGUUUGGACAUUUAUUCUUCAGAAUGCUUGGAACAUUCUUAAAUGAAUUUAAACUUUACUGGAGCUUUGCGAUGCACUCAGCAAAUACAUACAAAACGGUGUUUUCAUGGAGAUAUGCCAUUAACCAUUAAACUGUUUUUCA